AUUGAACGCUGGCGGCAGGCCUAACACAUGCAAGUCGAACGGUAACAGGAAACAGCUUGCUGUUUCGCUGACGAGUGGCGGACGGGUGAGUAAUGUCUGGGAAACUGCCUGAUGGAGGGGGAUAACUACUGGAAACGGUAGCUAAUACCGCAUAACGUCGCAAGACCAAAGAGGGGGACUUUCGGGCCUCUUGCCAUCGGCUGUGCCCAGAUGGGAUUAGCUAGUAGGUGGGGUAACGGCUCACCUAGGCGACGAUCCCGAGCUGGUCUGAGAGGAUGACCAGCCACACUGGAACUGAGACACGGUCCAGACUCCUACGGGAGGCAGCAGUGGGGAAUAUUGCACAAUGGGCGCAAGCCUGAUGCAGCCAUGCCGCGUGUAUGAAGAAGGCCUUCGGGUUGUAAAGUACUUUCAGCGGGGAGGAAGGGAGUAAAGUUAAUACCUUGACUCAUUGACGUUACCCGCAGAAGAAGCACCGGCUAACUCCGUG
rnacentral:rRNA from 1 species